CAAUAGCGUAUAUUAAAGUUGUUGCAGUUAAGAAGCUCGUAGUUGGAUUUCUGGUGGGAGCGAUCGGUCUGGCGCUUAGCGCGAGUACUUGCAUCGUCUCCGGCCAUCCUUGGGGAGAGUCUGUCUGGCAUUAAGUUGUCGGGCAGAGGAUCCUCAUCGUUUACUGUGAAAAAAUUAGAGUGUUCAAAACAGGCUUAUGCCGUUGAAUAUAUUAGCAUGGAAUAAUAAGAUAGGACUUUGGUACUAUUUUGUUGGUUUGCGCGCCAAAGUAAUGAUUAAUAGGGACAGUUGGGGGUAUUCGUAUUCCGUUGUCAGAGGUGAAAUUCUUGGAUUUACGGAAGACGAACUACUGCGAAAGCAUUUACCAAGGAUGUUUUCAUUAA
rnacentral:rRNA from 1 species